AUGCAAGUCGACGGCAGCGGGGGAGCUUGCUCCCGCCGGCGAGUGGCAAACGGGUGAGUAAUACAUCGGAACGUGCCCAGUAGUGGGGGAUAGCCCGGCGAAAGCCGGAUUAAUACCGCAUACGACCUACGGGUGAAAGCGGGGGACCGUAAGGCCUCGCGCUAUUGGAGCGGCCAAUGGCUGAUUAGCUAGUUGGUGGGGUAAAGGCCUACCAAGGCAACGAUCAUUCGCUGGUCUGAGAGGACGACCAGCCACACUGGGACUGAAACACGGCCCAGACUCCUACGGGAGGCAGCAGUGGGGAAUUUUGGACAAUGGGCGAAAGCCUGAUCCAGCAAUGCCGCGUGUGCGAAAAAGGCCUUCGGGUUGUAAAGCACUUUUGUCAGGAAAGAAAUUGUCCGGGUUAAUACCCCGGGCCGUUGACGGUACCUGAAAAAUAACCACCGGCUAACUACUUGCCAACAGCCGCGGUAAUACAUAGGGUGCGAGCGUUAAUCAAGAAUUACUGGGCGUAAAGCGUGCGCAGGCGGUUUGUUAAGACAAUUGUGAAAUCCCCGGGCUCAACCUGGGAACUGCAAUUGUGACUGGCAGGCUAGAGUUUGGCAGAGGGGGGUGGAAUUCCUGGUGUAGCAGUGAAAUGCGUAGAUAUCAGGAGGAACACCGAUGGCGAAGGCAGCCCCCUGGGCCAUGACUGACGCUCAUGCACGAAAGCGUGGGGAGCAAACAGGAUUAGAUACCCUGGUAGUCCACGCCCUAAACGAUGUCUACUAGUUGUUGGGUCUUCAUUGACUUAGUAACGAAGCUAACGCGUGAAGUAGACCGCCUGGGGAGUACGGCCGCAAGGUUAAAACUCAAAGGAAUUGACGGGGACCCGCACAAGCGGUGGAUGAUGUGGAUUAAUUCGAUGCAACGCGAAGAACCUUACCUACCCUUGACAUGUCAGGAAGUCCGCAGAGAUGUGGAUGUGCUCGAAAGAGAACCUGAACACAGGUGCUGCAUGGCUGUCGUCAGCUCGUGUCGUGAGAUGUUGGGUUAAGUCCCGCAACGAGCGCAACCCUUGUCAUUAGUUGCUACGAAAGGGCACUCUAAUGAGACUGCCGGUGACAAACCGGGGGAAGGUGGGGAUGACGUCAAGUCCUCAUGGCCCUUAUGGGUAGGGCUUCACACGUCAUACAAUGGUCGGUACAGAGGGCUGCCAACCCGCGAGGGGGAGCUAAUCCUUUAAAACCGAUCGUAGUCCGGAUUGUAGUCUGCAACUCGACUGCAUGAAGUCGGAAUCGCUAGUAAUCGCGGAUCAGAAUGUCGCGGUGAAUACGUUCCCGGGUCUUGCACACACCGCCCGUCACACCAUGGGAGCGGGUUUUACCAGAAGUAGCUAGCCUAACCGUAAGGAGGGCGU
rnacentral:rRNA from 1 species